GACGAACGCUGGCGGCGUGCCUAACACAUGCAAGUCGAACGGAGUCGGCCCCGCAAGGGACUGACUUAGUGGCGAACGGGUGAGUAACGCGUGAGCAACCUGCCUUUCAGUGGGGGACAACAGUUGGAAACGACUGCUAAUACCGCAUAAUGCAUUUUGACCGCAUGAUCGAGCUGCCAAAGAUUUAUUGCUGAAAGAUGGGCUCGCGUCUGAUUAGAUAGUUGGUGAGGUAACGGCCCACCAAGUCGACGAUCAGUAGCCGGACUGAGAGGUUGAACGGCCACAUUGGGACUGGGAUGCGGCCGAGGCUCCUACGGGAGGCAGCAGUGGAGAAUAUUGGGCAAUGGGGGAAACCCUGACCCAGCAACGCCGCGUGAAGGAAGAAGGCUUUCGGGUUGUAAACUUCUUUUACCAGGGACGAAGAAAGUGACGGUACCUAGAGAAAAAGCCACGGCUAACUACGUG
rnacentral:rRNA from 1 species